rnacentral:misc_RNA from 1 species
GAUGAAGAACGUAGUGAAAUGCGAUAAGUAAUGUGAAUUGCAGAAUUCAGUGAAUCAUCGAGUUUUUGAACGCAUAUUGCGCCCUCUGGUAUUCCGGGGGGCAUGCCUGUUCGAGCGUCAUUAAAUAACCCUCAAGCAUAGCUUGGUGUUGGGCUUUUUUACGUCCUUGACUGGGAUGGGCCUAAAAAUUAGUGGCGAUGGCUUUUUUACUUUCAAGCGUAGUAAAUCUCGUCUUGCUAAAGAGGAAAAAGAUUUUUUUUCUGCCAAAAAUUUUAACAUUUAAAGUUGACCUCGGAUCAGGUAGGAUUACCCGCUGAACUUAAGCAUACAAUAAGCGGAGGA